rnacentral:lncRNA from 1 species
CCAUUUCAUUUGGCAGUUUCAAGCAAAUUUGUUUUCAAAAUGAUAAAUUUUUGCAACGAAAAUGUGCCCUAUAGCUACAUAUCUAUAUAGGGUAAAAUAUAAUAUUAUAUGUGGUCAUCUAAACGAAGGACAUAUGGAACUCAAGUUGGAGAUGGCGAAAGGCCAUUUUACAGAAGCAACUAUUCCACUUGUUACCGGAAGAGAUAACAUUCAUAAAGGUGUGUAAAUGCUCUGUGCGCGGUAGCACUUAAUAAGAAAUAUUAUGCAGCAUUAAGAGCGACGGAUCGUUACAGGGAAUUUGACAUUUAUAUCUACCCGUUACAUCUUCAUCAAUGACCCUCAUAAUCAACAUUAAACGAGGGCACCCUCCUGAGACUUCUUUCCCUAGACAUAACUAUAAAUAAUGAGCUCAGUUAUCAUUGUAAAUGAG